GGUUUCUCCAUGUUGGUCAGGCUGGUCUCGAACUCCUGACCUCCCAAAGUGCUGGGAUUACAGGCAUAAGCCACCGCGCCUGGCCUUAUUUUAGUUAUUUUUAAAUGUACAAUUAAGUUAUUAUUGACUAUAGUCACCCUGUUGUCCUAUCAAGUACUAGGUCUUAUUCAUUCUAUUUUUUUUGUAUCAAUUAACCAACCUCACCUCUCCACCACCACCCACUACCCUUCCCAGCCUCCGCUAACCAGUUUUCUACUCUUUAUGUUCAUGAGUUCAGUUGUUUUGAUUUUUAGAUCCCACAAAUAAGUGAGAACAUGUGAUGUUUGUAUUUCUUUUUUUUUUUUUUUUUUUUUUUUUGAGACAGAGUCUCGCACUAUUGCCUGGGCUGGCAUGCAAUGGCGUGAUCUCGGCUCACUGCAACCUCUACCUCCCGGGUUCAAGCGAUUCUCCUGCCUCAGCCUCCCAAGUAGCUGAAAUUACAGAUGCCUGCCACCACGCCCGGCUGAUUUUUGUAUUUUUAGUAGAGACAGAGUUUCACCAUGUUGGUCAGGCUGGUCUUGAAUUCCUGACCUCAUGAUCUGCCUGCCUCAGCCUCCCAAAGUGCUGGGAUUACAGGCGUGAGCCACCGCAUUGGACCAUGAUGUUUGUAUGUCUGUGCCUGUCUUAUUUCACUUAACAUAAUGACUUCCAGUUCCAACCAUGUUGUUGCAAAUGACAGAAUCUCAUUCUUUAUCAUGCCUAAAUAGUACUCCAUUGUGUAUAAGUACCACAUUUUUUUAAUCCAUUCAUCUGUUGAUGGAUACUUAGGUUGUUUCCAAAUCUUAGCUAUUGUAAACAGUGCUACAACAAACUUGGGAGUGUGGAUAUCUCUUCGAUAUACUGAUUUCCUUUCUUUUGGGUAUACACUCAGCAGUGGAAUUGCUGGAUCAUAUAUUAGUUCCAUUUUUACUUUUUUGAGGAACCUACAAACGGUUCUCUAUGGUGGCUGUAUUAAUUUACAUUCCCACCAACAGUGUUUGAGAGUUCCCUUUUCUCCACAUCCUCACCAGCAAUGGUUAUUGCCUGUCUUUUGGAUAUAAGCCAUUUUAACUGGGGUGAGAUAAUAUCUCACUGUAGUUUUGAUUUGCAUUUCUCUGAUGAUCAGUGAUGUUGAGCACCUUUUCAUAUGCCUGUUUGCCGUUUGUAUGUCUUCUUUUGAGAAAUGUCUAUUCAAAUAUUUGGCCCAUUUUUUAAUCUGAUUAUUAGAUUAUUUUCCUAUAGAGUUAUUUAAGCUCCUUAUAUAUUAUGGUUAUUAAUCCCUUGUCAGAUGGAUGGUUUGUAAAUAUUUUCUCCCAUUCUGUGGGUUUUCUCUUCACUUUGUUGUUUCCUUUGUUGUGCAGAAGCUUUUAACUUGAUGUGAUCCCAUUUGUCUGUUUUGACUUUGGUUGCCUGUGCUAGUGGAGUAUUACUCAAGAAAUGUUGGCCAAUGUCUUGGAAAGUAUCCCCAAUGUUUUCUUGUAGUAGUUCCAUAUUAUGAAGUCUUAGAUUUAAGUCUUUAAUCCAUUUUGAUUUGAUUUUUGUGUAUGGCAAGGGAUAGGAGUCUAGUUUCAUUCUUCUGCAUAUGGAUAUCUUGUUUUCCCAGCACCAUUAAUUGAAGAGACUGCCUUUUCCCCAGUGUAUGUUCUUGGGACGUUUGUCAAAAAUGAGUUCAUUAUAGGUGUGUAGAUUUGUUUCUGGCUCUCUAUUCUGUUCCAUUGGUCUAUGUGUUGGUUUUUAUGCCAGUACCAUGGUGUUUUGGUUACUAUAGCUCUGUAGUAUAAUUUGAAGUCAGGUAAUGUGAUUACUCCAGGUUUUAUCUUUUUUGCUUAGGAUAGCUUUGGCUAUUCUGGGUCUUUGUGGCUCCAUAUAAAUUUUAGGAUUGUGUUUAUUUCUGUUAAGAAUGUCAUUGGUAUUUUGAUAGGGAUUGCAUUGCAUCUGUAGAUUGCUUUGGGUAGCAUGGACUUUAACAAUAUUAAUUAUUCCAAUCCAUGAACCUGGAAUAUCUUUCCAUUUUUUUGGUGUCCUCUUCAAUUAUUUUCAUCAGUGUUUUAUAUUUUUCAUUGUAGAUGUCUCUUACUUCUUUGGUUAAGUUAAUUCCUAGGUACUUAAUUUUUUUGUGGCUAUUGUAAAUAGGAUUUUUUUGUUUGUUUUUUGUUUGUUUGUUUGUUUGUUUUUGAGACAGUCUCGCUCUGUUGCCCGGGCUGGAGUGCAGUGGUGCAAUCUCGGCUCACUGCAACCUCCACCUCCUGGGUUCAAGCGAUUCUCCUGCCCCAGAGUAGCUGGGAUUACAGGCUCCUGCCACCAUGCCCAGCUAAUUUUUUGUAAUUUUAGUAGAGACAGGGUUUCACCACGUUGGCCAGGCUGGUCUCAGACACCUGACCUCAGGUGAUCCGCCUACCAGCCUUCCAAUGUGCCCAGUGACCCACCAUGCCUGGCCUCUAAAUAGGGUUACUUUUUUAUUUUUCAGAUUGUUCACUGUGGCAUAUAGCAAUGCUACUGAUUUUUGUAUGUUGAUCUUGUAUUCUGCAACUUUACUGAAUUUGUUUUAUCAGUUCUAAGUUUUUUGGUAGAGUCUUUAGGUUAUUCUGAAUAUAAGAUUACAUUGUCUGCAAAUAAGGAUAAUUUGACUUCUUCCUUUCCAAAUUAUAUGCCCUUUAUUUGUUUCUCUUAUCUGAUUCCUCUAGCUAGGACUUCCAGUAUUAUGUUGAAUAGCAGUGGUGAAAGUGGGUAUCCUUCUUGUGUUCCAGAACUUAGAGGAAAGGCUUUCAGCUUUUCCCUAUUCAAUAUGAUAUUAGUUGUGGGUCUGUCAUAUACAGCUUUUAUUAUGUUGAAGUAUAUUCCUUAUAUAAUGAGUUUCUUGAGGGUUUUUAACAUGAAGGGAUGUUGAAUUUUAUCAAAUGCUUUUUCAGAAUUAAUUGAGAUGAUCAAAUGGUUUUAUCCUACAUUCUGUUAAUAUGAUGUAUCACAUUGAUUGAUUUGCAUAUGUUGAACCAUCCUUGCCUCCCAGUGAUAAAUCCAACUUGGUCAUGAGGAUCUUUUUAAUGUAUUGUUAAAUUUCAUUUGCUGGUAUUUUGUUGAGGAUUUUUGCAUCAAUAUUCAUCAGAGAUAUUGGCCUGUUGUCUUCUUUUUUUUUUUUUUUUUAAUGUGUCUUUGUCUGGCUUUGGUAUCAGGGUAAUACUAGCCUUGUAGAAUGAGUUUGGAAGUAUUCCCUCCUCCACUACUUUUUGGAAUACUUUGAGUAGGAUUAGUAAUAGUUCUUCUUUAAAUUUUUGGUAGAAUUCAGCAGUGAAGCCAUUAAGUCUCAGGUUUUUCUUUACUGAGAGACUUUUUAUUAUGGCUUCAAUCUUGUUGCUUGUUAUUUGUCUGUUCGGGAUUUGGAUUUCUUCCUGGUUCAAUCUUGGUGGGUUGUAUGUGUCUAGGCAUUUGUCCAUUUCUUCUAGAGGUCCAAUUUAUGGGCAUAUAGUUGCUCAUAAUAGCCACUAAUCCUUUGCAUUUCCAUGGUAUCAGUUAUAAUGUCUUCUUUUUCAUCUCUGAUUUUAUUUACUUGAGUCUUCUCUUUCUUUUUUCUUCACUAGUCUGGUUAACUUGUCAAUUUUGUUUAACUAAAAAAAACCCAUUUUUGUUUCAUUGAUCUUUUGUAUUGUUUUCUUCAUUUCAAUUUCAUUUAUUUCUGCUCUAAUCUUUAUUAUUUCUUUUCUUCUAUUGGUGGGUUUGGUUUGCUCUUGUUCUUCUAGGUCUUUAAGAUGCAUCAUUAGCUUGUUUAUUUGAAAUUUUUCUUCUUUUUUGAUGUAGGCACUUAUAGCUAUAAUCCUUCCUGAUAGUACUGCUUUUUCUGUAUCCCAUAUAUUUUGGUAUGUUGUGUUUCCAUUAUCAUUUGUUUCAAGAAUUUUUUUUCAGUUUUCUUUUUAAUUUCUUCAUUUACCCAUUCAGGAACAUAUUGUUUAAUUUCCAUGUAUUUGUAUAGUUUCCAAAAUUCCUCUUGUUAUUGUUUUCUAUUUUUAUUUCAUUGGAGUCAGAGAAGAUGCUUGGUAUUAUUUCCAUUUUUGAAUGUUUAAGACUUGUUUUGCGACCUAAUCUAUGGUCUGUCCUUGAGAAUGAUCCAUGUGCUGAGGAAAAGAAUAUGUAUUCUGUAGCCAUUAGAUGAAAUGUUCUGUAAAUAUCUAUUAGGUCCAUUUGGUCUAUAGUGCAGAUAAGUGUGAUUUUUUUGGUAUUGAUUUUCUGUCUGGAAGAUCUGUCCACUGCUGAAAGUGGGGUGUUGAAGUCUCCAGCUAUUAUUGAAUUGGGGCCUGUCUUUCUCUUUAGCUCUCAUAAUAUUUGUUUUGUGCAUCUGGGUGCUCCAGUGGUGGGUGCAUAUAUAUUUUAAAUUGUUAUAUCCUUUUGCUGAAUUGACCCUUUAUCGUUAUAUGAUGACCUUCUCUGUCUCUUCUUAUAGUUUUUGUCUUGAAAUCUAUUUUAUCUGAUGUAAGUAUAGCUACUCCUGCUAUAUUCCUGUCAUCUAGGUUUUAAGCCCUGCAUGCAUUAGGUGUUUGUCCUAAUGCUCUCCCUCCCCUUACCCCCCAACCCCUGACAAGCCCCAGUGUGUGAUGUUUCCCUCCCUGUGUCCAUGUGUUCUCAUUGUUCAACUCCCACUUAUGUGUUUCUCUUUAAUCUUAUGCAUUGUCUAUGUCUUGAAAAGUUGUUGUAGUUAUUUUUAAUUGGUUCAUAAUUUAGUAUUUCUACUUAAGAUAAGAGUAGUUUAC
rnacentral:lncRNA from 10 species